UACGGAGGGAGCUAGCGUUGUUCGGAAUCACUGGGCGUAAAGGGUGCGUAGGUGGAUUUUUAAGUCAGGGGUGAAAUCCUGGAGCUCAACUCCAGAACUGCCUUUGAUACUGGGAAUCUUGAGUUCGGGAGAGGUGAGUGGAACUGCGAGUGUAGAGGUGAAAUUCGUUGAUAUUUGCAAGAACACCAGUGGCGAAGGCGGCUCACUGGCCCGAUACUGACACUGAGGCACGAAAGCGUGGGGAGCAAACAGG
rnacentral:rRNA from 1 species